rnacentral:lncRNA from 1 species
GGUUACAUCGUAUGAUGCUUGAAGAUUUGCCGAAUGGUAUUAUGGAUGAGGUACUGUGAGCACGUUGCCAUUUGCUUUGAAAGAGUUUGUCCAUAUCAAAGAAGGGUUGCAGUUGUGGAGAAUAAAUUUUGUUGUCUCUGGAUGUAAUGAAUUAUUUUUAGUUCGCGAAUUUGUUGUAUGAUGCAUUUUUUAAUAUAGUAUACGGUACAUGAAAUGUAGAGGUGCCAAAU